UACGGGGGGGGUAAGCGUUGUUCGGAAUUACUGGGCGUAAAGGGCUCGUAGGCGGCCAACUAAGUCAUACGUGAAAUCCCUCAGCUUAACUGGGGAACUGCGUCCGAUACUGGAUGGCUUGAGUUUGGGAGAGGGAUGCGGAAUUCCUGGUGUAGCGGUGGAAUGCGCAGAUAUCAGGAGGAACACCAAUAGCGAAGGCAGCUCGCUGGGACGGUACUGACGCUAAGGCGCGAAAGCGUGGGGAGCGAACAGG
rnacentral:rRNA from 1 species